rnacentral:rRNA from 1 species
ACGCUGGCGGCGUGCCUAAUACAUGCGAGUAGAACGCUGAAGGAGGAGCUUGCUUCUCUGGAUGAGUUGCGAACGGGUGAGUAACGCGUAGGUAACCUGCCUGGUAGCGGGGGAUAACUAUUGGAAACGAUAGCUAAUACCGCAUAAGAGUAGAUGUUGCAUGACAUUUGCUUAAAAGGUGCAAUUGCAUCACUACCAGAUGGACCUGCGUUGUAUUAGCUAGUUGGUGGGGUAACGGCUCACCAAGGCGACGAUACAUAGCCGACCUGAGAGGGUGAUCGGCCACACUGGACUGAGACACGGCCCAGACUCCUACGGGAGGCAGCAGUAGGGAAUCUUCGGCAAUGGACGGAAGUCUGACCGAGCAACGCCGCGUGAGUGAAGAAGGUUUUCGGAUCGUAAAGCUCUGUUGUAAGAGAAGAACGAGUGUGAGAGUGGAAAGUUCACACUGUGACGGUAUCUUACCAGAAAGGGACGGCUAACUACGUGCCAGCAGCCGCGGUAAUACGUAGGUCCCGAGCGCUGUCCGGAUUUAUUGGGCGUAAAGCGAGCGCAGGCGGUUAGAUAAGUCUGAAGUUAAAGGCUGUGGCUUAACCAUAGUACGCUUUGGAAACUGUUUAACUUGAGUGCAAGAGGGGAGAGUGGAAUUCCAUGUGUAGCGGUGAAAUGCGUAGAUAUAUGGAGGAACACCGGUGGCGAAAGCGGCUCUCUGGCUUGUAACUGACGCUGAGGCUCGAAAGCGUGGGGAGCAAACAGGAUUAGAUACCCUGGUAGUCCACGCCGUAAACGAUGAGUGCUAGGUGUUAGACCCUUUCCGGGGUUUAGUGCCGCAGCUAACGCAUUAAGCACUCCCGCCUGGGGAGUACGACCGCAAGGUUGAAACUCAAAGGAAUGACGGGGGCCCGCACAA